rnacentral:rRNA from 1 species
UACGUAGGUGGCAAGCGUUAUCCGGAUUUAUUGGGCGUAAAGGGAACGCAGGCGGUCUUUUAAGUCUGAUGUGAAAGCCUUCGGCUUAACCGGAGUAGUGCAUUGGAAACUGGGAGACUUGAGUGCAGAAGAGGAGAGUGGAACUCCAUGUGUAGCGGUGAAAUGCGUGGAUAUAUGGAAGAACACCAGUGGCGAAAGCGGCUCUCUGGUCUGUAACUGACGCUGAGGUUCGAAAGCGUGGGGAGCGAACAGG